rnacentral:tRNA from 1 species
CGCGGGGUGGAGCAGUUGGCAGCUCGCGAGGCCCAUAACCUCGAGGUCGCCGGUUCGAGUCCGGCCCCCGCAACCA